CAUAUCAAUAAGCGGAGGAAAAGAAACUAACAAGGAUUCCCCUAGUAACUGCGAGUGAAGCGGGAAAAGCUCAAAUUUAAAAUCUGGCGGUCUUUGGCUGUCCGAGUUGUAAUCUAGAGAAGUGUUAUCCGCGCUGGACCGUGUACAAGUCUCCUGGAAUGGAGCGUCACAGAGGGUGAGAAUCCCGUCUUUGACACGGACUGCCAGGGCUUUGUGAUGCGCUCUCAAAGAGUCGAGUUGUUUGGGAAUGCAGCUCAAAAUGGGUGGUAAAUUCCAUCUAAAGCUAAAUAUUGGCGAGAGACCGAUAGCGAACAAGUACCGUGAGGGAAAGAUGAAAAGAACUUUGGAAAGAGAGUUAAACAGUACGUGAAAUUGCUGAAAGGGAAACGCUUGAAGUCAGUCGCGUUGUCCAGGGAUCAACCUUGCUUUUGCUUGGUGCACUUUCUGGUUUGACGGGUCAGCAUCAAUUUUGACUAUUGGAAAAAGAUCAGGGGAAUGUGGCAUCCUUGGAUGUGUUAUAGCCCUUGGUUGCAUACAAUGGUUGGGAUUGAGGAACUCAGCACGCCRCAAGGCCGGGUUUUUAACCACGUACGUGCUUAGGAUGCUGGCAUAAUGGCUUUAAUCGACCCGUCUUGAAACACGGACCAAGGAGUCUAACAUGCCUGCGAGUGUUUGGGUGGAAAACCCGAGCGCGUAAUGAAAGUGAAAGUUGAGAUCCCUGUCGUGGGGAGCAUCGACGCCCGGACCAGACCUUUUGUGACGGUUCCGCGGUAGAGCAUGUAUGUUGGGACCCGAAAGAUGGUGAACUAUGCCUGAAUAGGGUGAAGCCAGAGGAAACUCUGGUGGAGGCUCGUAGCGAUUCUGACGUGCAAAUCGAUCGUCAAAUUUGGGUAUAGGGGCGAAAGACUAAUCG
rnacentral:rRNA from 1 species